rnacentral:rRNA from 1 species
CCUACGGGAGGCAGCAGUGAGGAAUAUUGGUCAAUGGUCGGGAGACUGAACCAGCCAAGCCGCGUGAGGGAUGAAGGUACAGAGUAGCGUAAACCUCUUUUGUCAGGGAACAAAGGCGGGGACGUGUCCCCGGAUGAGUGUACCUGAAGAAAAAGCAUCGGCUAACUCCGUGCCAGCAGCCGCGGUAAUACGGAGGAUGCGAGCGUUAUCCGGAUUUAUGGGGUGAAAAGGGUGCGCAGGCGGUCUGUUAGGUCAGCGGUCAAAGCACGGGGCUAAACCCGGGCCCGCCGUUGAAACUGGCAGUCUCGAGUUGGAGAGAAGUAUGCGGAAUGCGCGGUGUAGCGGUGAAAUGCAUAGAUAUCGCGCAGAACUCCGAUUGCGAAGGCAGCAUGCCGGCUCCACACUGACGCUGAGGCACGAAAGCGUGGGUAUCGAACAGGAUUAGAUACCCUAGUAGUC